rnacentral:rRNA from 1 species
AACGCGAAGAACCUUACCAAGGCUUGACAUAUACGAGAACGGGCCAGGAAUGGUCAACUCUUUGGACACUCGUAAACAGGUGGUGCAUGGUUGUCGUCAGCUCGUGUCGUGAGAUGUUGGGUUAAGUCCCGCAACGAGCGCAACCCUCGUUCUAUGUUGCCAGCACGUAAUGGUGGGAACUCAUGGGAUACUGCCGGGGUCAACUCGGAGGAAGGUGGGGAUGACGUCAAAUCAUCAUGCCCCUUAUGUCUUGGGCUUCACGCAUGCUACAAUGGCCGGUACAAAGGGCUGCAAUACCGCGAGGUGGAGCGAAUCCCAAAAAGCCGGUCCCAGUUCGGAUUGAGGUCUGCAACUCGACCUCAUGAAGUCGGAGUCGCUAGUAAUCGCAGAUCAGCAACGCUGCGAUGAAUACGUUCCCGGGUCUUGUACACACCG